UACGGAGGGAGCUAGCGUUGUUCGGAAUUACUGGGCGUAAAGCGUACGUAGGCGGUUAUUCAAGUCAGAGGUGAAAGCCCGGGGCUCAACCCCGGAACUGCCUUUGAAACUAGAUAGCUAGAAUCUUGGAGAGGUCGGUGGAAUUCCGAGUGUAGAGGUGAAAUUCGUAGAUAUUCGGAAGAACACCAGUGGCGAAGGCGACUGACUGGACAAGCAUUGACGCUGAGGUACGGAAAGCGA
rnacentral:rRNA from 1 species